rnacentral:rRNA from 1 species
UACAGAGGGUGCAAGCGUUGUUCGGAAUUAUUGGGCGUAAAGCGCGUGUAGGCGGCUUUGCAAGUCGGGUGUGAAAUCCCUCAGCUUAACUGAGGAAGUGCGCCCGAAACUGCCGAGCUUGAGUGCCGGAGAGGAUGGCGGAAUUCCCCAAGUAGAGGUGAAAUUCGUAGAUAUGGGGAGGAACACCGGUGGCGAAGGCGGCGACCUGGAUGAGUACUGACACUCAACUGCGAAAGCGUGGGGAGCAAACAGG